rnacentral:rRNA from 1 species
AGAGUUUGAUCCUGGCUCAGAUUGAACGCUGGCGGCACGGCUAAAACAUGCAAGUCGAACGCGAACGGAGAGUUUACUUUCCUAUUAGAGUGGCGAAAGGGCGAGUAAUGCGUUUCUAACGUGCCCCAAGGUCGAGGACAGCCCGGGGAAACCCGGAUUAAUACUCGAUGACCUCACGGCGCCCAUGGCGCGGUGGGCAAAGAUUUAUCGCCUUGGGAUCGGGGAACGUGCUAUCAGCUUGUUGGUGGGGUAACGGCCCACCAAGGCUUAGACGGCUAGCGGGUGUGAGAGCACGGCCCGCCGCAUCGGGACUGAGACACUGCCCGGACUCCUACGGGAGGCUGCAGUAACGAAUAUUCCGCAAUGGGCGAAAGCCUGACGGAGCAAUGCCGCGUGGGAUGAAGCUUUUCGGAGUGUAAACCACUGUCAGGGGUUAGAAACACAAUGAUCAGCCCCAAAGGAAGAGCCGGCUAACUCUGUGCCAGCAGCCGCGGUAACACAGAGGGCCCAAGCGUUAAUCGGAAUCACUGGGCUUAAAGGGUGCGUAGGCGGACCUGACAGUACGUUGUGAAAUCCCACGGCUUAACCGUGGAACUGCUUCGUAUACUCCAGGUCUUGAGGUCGGUAGGGGAUGCCGGAACUCUAGGUGGAGCGGUGAAAUGCGUAGAUAUCUAGGGGAACGCCAAAGGCGAAGGCAGGCAUCUGGGCCGAUCCUGACGCUCAGGCACGAAAGUGUGGGUAUCGAACGGGAUUAGAUACCCCGGUAGUCCACACCCUAAACGAUGUGCACUAGAUCGUGGAGGUUCUGACACCGACUCGGUCGAAGGAAAACUGAUAAGUGCACCGCCUGGGGAGUACGGUCGCAAGGCUAAAACUCAAAGGAAUUGACGGGGGCUCACACAAGCGGUGGAGCAUGUGGCUUAAUUCGAAUCAACGCGAAGAACCUUAUCCUGGGUUUGACAUGUACGGAUUAACCCCGAGAAACCGGGGCCACGCCCUUUGGGUGGAACGUACGCAGGUGCUGCAUGGCUGUCGUCAGCUCGUGUCGUGAGAUGUCGGGUUAAGUCCCUUAACGAGCGAAACCCCUAUCGUUAGUUGCCAGCGCGUUAUGGCGGGGACUCUAACGAGACUGCCGGUGUCAAACCGGAGGAAGGUGGGGAUGACGUCAAGUCCUCAUGGCCUUUAUGCCCAGGGCUGCACACGUGCUACAAUGGCGCGUACAGAGCGACGCAAGACCGUAAGGUGGAGCAAAUCGCAAAAAACGCGCCCCAGUUCAGAUUGAGGUCUGCAACUCGACCUCAUGAAGGUGGAAUCGCUAGUAAUCGCGUAUCAGCUACGACGCGGUGAAUGUGUUCCUGAGCCUUGUACACACCGCCCGUCAAGUCAUGGAAGCCGGGAGUACCCGAAGCCGCCAUAAAUCAGUGGUGUCGACGGUAAGCUCGGUGACUGGGACUAAGUCGAAACAAGGUA